GAGAGAAAAGAGGUUUUCUGAUCAUAACCUCCUUCAUCCCUCUCAUUCUCUCUGUUUUUUCUGCAAAAGUUUUUCUUAAGAAAAUCUCUCAUACUCUUCUCUAAGUCGAGAUUGAGUGCAAGCCCACACCUCUACACGAUUCUCGUCCCUGAAAAUAAUGGGAAGACCCCAUGGUGGUGUCCGGUUGUGGUGUUCGUGGGAUUGGGAGAAGACGACGUGAAUUGGAGAGGAAUGCGAAGAAUUUGUCUUCAAGGAGAAUUUCAAUCCCUUCAGCACGACCCCCUUACGUCGGUUUGGUUUAUGGAUAUAUAUAAAAUGAAAUCUUGGAUAUACCAUUGAACAACGAGAAGUGAACAACAGUGACAACGACGACUUUGACGAUAAGGGGGAAUAGAUGGCGAGGGUGAGAGAGAGGAUGCGAUAGAUGUGGAUCGUGAAAGAAUGAGAGAAAGAGGAAGAAUAUUAAAUUUGAGAAGAAAGAAGAUGGAAAGACUGAAAUUGAUAUCACUCAAAAAUUUUAAAAUAAAACGCUGUUAUUUUAAAUAACCACAACCUGUUGUCUUAUUAGACCAAGUAGCAUACAUUUGGGACCUCGUUUCUAUCGAGGGA